UACGAGGGGGCAAGCGUUGUUCGGAAUUAUUGGGCGUAAAGGGCGCGUAGGCGGUGCGGUAAGUCACCUGUGAAACCUCUAGGCCUUAACCUAGAGCCUGCAGGCGAAACUGCCGUACUUGAGGGUGGGAGAGGUGCGUGGGAAUUCCCGGUGUAGCGGUGAAUGCGUAGAGUAUCGGGAGGAACACCUGUGGCGAAAGCGGCGCACUGGACCACAUCUGACGCUGGAGGCGCGAAAGCUAGGGAGCAAACAGG
rnacentral:rRNA from 1 species